UACGGAGGGUGCGAGCGUUGUCCGGAAUCACUGGGCGGAAAGGGCGCGUAGGUGGCCCGUUAAGUGGCUGGUGAAAUCCCGCGGCUCAACUGCGGGGCUGCCGGUCAUACUGGCGAGCUAGAGCACGGUAGGGGCAGAUGGAAUUCCCGGUGUAGCGGUGGAAUGCGUAGAGAUCGGGAAGAAUACCAGUGGCGAAGGCGUUCUGCUGGGCCGUUGCUGACACUGAGGCGCGACAGCGUGGGGAGCAAACAGG
rnacentral:rRNA from 1 species